GCGAUGUUACUCUGAGUGCAUAUCCACACCGGGCGAGCUUGAAAAAUAUGCCCGGCCACGGUGGGAUUCGAACCUACGACCUUUGGAUACUAGCCCAAUGCUCUUCCAACUGAGCUACGCGGUCAGGACGGUUCGAGUAAGUGAUAUUUCGGAACAGUAUCUAGUUCCUUCUAUACCAAUGUGUUCUAGUAAUAUGAAUUUUUUCUGUGUUGGUGUUGUGUACUCAGGUGAAUAAUAUGUUUACG